CUCUUUGUCAGCUGGAGUUGCGCGGUGAGUGCAUCUCCAGUCUUCGGCUUUCGGUCUCCCGCGGGGAGGGCGCCCGGCCGGCCCGUGGGUCCGAUCAGGGGCUGGGCUCGCCCGGUGUCCCCACGAGCUUUGCCCGCCUCGAGCUCCUCUGCUCCCGGCGGCCAGAACGGAGGGGUAGAGCAGCCCUCGGCGGCCCGGGGGGCGGGCGGCGGUGCCCGUCCCGGGGCUGCGCGAGGCACAGGCGCCGCGCCCAGCGGAACAGCCGGAGGUUCCCGGCGCAGGUCUGGGCACCGUAACAAUUUUGCGCUUUGCUUCCCCAGGGCUGACGCGCCACUAUGUAGCGGGUUUCGGGCGGGCCACGCGUGCGGGACAGGAACCCAACCCCAGCCGACCUUGAGCUCCAGGAGUUCGUCUCUUACGUCUGCGGAAGUGCAGCUGCCUCAGUUCUUAGCGCAGGUUGACAACUACAGGCACAAGCCAUUGAAGCUGGAAUGUCCUGUUGCUGGUAUUUCAAUUGACUUAAGCCAACUAUCCCUUCAGUUACAAUAGGAAAGUGCCUCUAAUAAGGCCAAAUAUGCGUACUAACUUGUAGCAACCACGUGUCCGUGCAGUGCCACAGGAGCUAGAGCAGUGACAAUGCUGGUGGCAACAGGGCAGUGUAGCAGGUGCUUCAUGUUCACCUUUUCAACCUUUUCAUUUAAUUGUCACAACUCGGAGGUGGAUUCUGUUAGGGACAGGCUGCCCCAGGACCACUCCGCCCCCGCUAACUCAAUGCAGCUGACCCUUACCCUGAAUACUCUGCAGCUGCAUUCCUGAACCGUUAUCUAGGCGCUAUAGCAAGGUCACCAGACUUGCUACACCGAAGCCCUCUGGGUGGCACGGGGGAGGUCAUGAGAAACGUGGAUUACACCCCCUUGUAAAUUCCUAUUUUCACAAGAUAAUAUAUUGUAAGCCGGUCAUGAGAUUAUAUGUGGUAAAGUUAAUUGACUAACAACCCCAGGGUCUCUCUCCCCCAUAUAAACCCCUCAUUUUGUAAGCUCAGGGCUGCCACCUCCGACUGGUGGAGAAGCCUGGCAGGUUAAUAAACUUACUUGGCCUGA
rnacentral:lncRNA from 10 species